AUCCGAAAUACUACCUGAUAAUGUUGAAAACAAUAUUAAUGUGUGCAUUUGUGUGGCCACGAUCUCUAUUCGACCAUCAAUAUCAAUCGUGUUUUCGAGCUAAAACAAAAAAAUAUUUUGUGCAAUAUUCCAUAUCUAUCUACCUUAACGAUGCGAACCGCUGAUUUUAGCCGGUUUUUUUUAAACAAAACAAAAAAAAAUGACAAUUCAAAUUAUUUCCAUUCAAGAAUAUGCAUUUACACCUUUGGAUAUCUUUACAAAAAAAAGAAUUUUUUUUCGUUCGUAAAACCCGACUAAUAAUAAUAAAACAAUAAGCACAUAAUAUUGUAAACUGUCAUAUAUAAUAAUAAUAAUAAUGAUGAUGAUGAUGAUAAUGACAAUCUUCUUAAUGACAAUAGUAUCAUUAAAAUGAACAAGACACACACACACAUUCACAUUUAAAUAAUUACCAGUCUAAAUGUGUAUUUGUUUUUUUUUCAUAUCCACGUGAUCCAUUAAAUAAUAAUGACAAAAAUUAGCGAACAA